GUAACGAGCGCAACCCUUGUCCUUAGUUACCAGCACGUUAUGGUGGGCACUCUAAGGAGACUGCCGGUGACAAACCGGGAGGAAGGUGGGGAUGACGUCAAGUCAUCAUGGCCCUUACGGCCUGGGCUACACACGUGCUACAAUGGUCGGUACAAAGGGUUGCCAAGCCGCGAGGUGGAGCUAAUCCCAUAAAACCGAUCGUAGUCCGGAUCGCAGUCUGCAACUCGACUGCGUGAAGUCGGAAUCGCUAGUAAUCGCGGAUCAGCACGCCGCGGUGAAUACGUUCCCGGGCCUU
rnacentral:rRNA from 1 species